rnacentral:lncRNA from 1 species
AUGUCAGAAGAAAAGUAUUGUCAGGAUGACUUCAUCCCUGCAGAGAACAGUCUUCCAGAAACUAUACACUAUCACCAAUCCGUCGUUAAAGACUACGGUACUUUUAACACUCCCGUCAACUUGCCACCAGAUACUGAUAGCACACAGUCCACUGGAAAGCGUGACAGCGGUGUGUCCAUGUCCACUGAAAGCAGGAGUCUCAAAUCUUGCAGCGAUAAUGGGUCUGAGCUUGGGACAAACGCCACACAAGACCGAAAUCAUGAUGCUGUGCAACCAGAUCUAUCCGUUGAAGCUGUUAGUCCUCAGUUCAAUGACGAGUGUGUCCAUGAAUCAGACUCUAGUCACAGUUCUACAGUGUUUAAUUCCUUCGAUGCCGAUUCCAAUGUAUUCGCUGAAGAGGAGGAGGAGGACAGGGUUGACGUACAGGCUGGAUCCGGUUUAAUUAAAAGAGCUAACUCUCUGUGUGGUCUGCAGAGCAUCAUCGCAGGGUCCUAUACAGGGUUUCCUCUAAGUCCAUGUGACCCUGAUCCUCUCCCAGGCGAUUUCCAGAAGACCUUUGAACAUCAUAUUACCACUUCUGAACUAAAUGCUGCGAAUGACAAAGAACUCAUAAAAACUGAGAGUUUAUCUCCAGAUGAUAGUGCAGGUCCUCUGUGUGAACAGUUGCAUGAUAUAAACAGUAGCUCUCCUUCCAUUUCUCCUUCUCAACCUUCUGCUUUAGACGAAUACGACUACAAAUAUGGAGAUAUGUUCUUCUUCACUGUGAGAUUAGAUCCCGGUAGCCCUGAACUACAUAAUCAAAGUCCAGUUUGUCCUGAACACAAUUAUGUAAAGAAAGAGGAGUCCAAUUGCCAAAUUAAUUGGCAGGACACCUCUUUGAGCCCUGAAUUUAAUGAUGCAGAUGAAUUUGAAUGCUCCAGUCCAAAGCCUGAAGACACAGAACAACGCAACCAGAUCACUAACGACGAGAACGAAGUGGAGGUGGAAAUCGCUAAACAUGAUGAAAUAUUAGUGCCUGAUUCUGAAAAGGUGGUUUUAGAUAUCCCAUGUCUUACAUUUAAUGAUUCAAAUGCUUGCCAAAGUGUGCUUGAUUCAGAGUGGAAUGACCAAUGGACGGCAAAUCCAGAUGUAGCUGAACCUGUUCCUGAUUCACCCAUCCUGGACACGGAAAGCAAUCCGCCAAAUUCUACAGCUCAAGACGUCUUUUGUCUGUUUAGUAACACAGAAACAUCAGCUACUGACCAGUUUUAUGCCAAUAAACAACUCAGCCCUGAAUCUAGCAGUUCACCACACAAACCUUCUUCCUCUGAAGGCUUGGCCAUGAGUAAACUUGAACUCCAGUAUUUUGACCCAUUUAGUCCCAUACCUGCUGAGCCGGUCGAAGGCGUAUCUGACUUAGAAGAAAUGAACACUGUUAACUCAUUCUGUCAUGAAGCUCCAAGACUAGAUUCUGGUUACCAUGAAGUUGGUACUCCUACUCCUUUUAGUCCAGAACCUGCUGACAAAACCAAGUGUAGCAUUGAUCUUCAAGGCCCAGGUUUGGGAGCUAGGAAGCAGAGCAACUCUGAAAUCCACGUCCCUGAUCCAUUUAGCCCCGAAUCCGUCGAUACAGGGAUAUUUGACUCGGAAACGGAAAACUGUGAGUCUGGUUAUAUGAUAAGUACAUGCCAACUCUUAAGUCCUCAACCAGUUUACACAGAUUUAAAUAAUCUGGAGGAGAAGCAGAUGUCCUGUGACGUGCUAAGUGAUCAUCUCAGUGGAUCCGAACAUGAUGAUUGUUACCCCUUUGGUUCUUGUCCAUCUAAUGAAGAGAGUUAUGCUUAUAGUAGUGAAGAAAAACUCAUUGAACCAGUCCGAGAAGGAUAUGAUGCUUCAGGAGAAUCCAAACCUUGCUCUAUAGUGUCAAAUGCUAGUGGUUCCUCUCAAGUAUUUCACUGUGGUUCGGUGUGGGGAACCUCUGAAAUGAGCUUUCCCGACUCUGAAGUGCUUGGCCCAAUGAAAAACAACAUUUUUGAUUUUAAUACAAUGGAUGUUGGCUCAUUUGUGUCCAACGAAAGCCAAGAAGCUGAAGAGGCUCAACACGGUGCUGGAAAAGUGACGAAAAACGCCGACCUGUCUGAAAUUGACUAUUUCUGUUCUGAGCUCAGUAAAAUGGUAUCCUCAAGUUCGUCUGAUUCUGUUCAGCAAAGUGUUGCUGAGAUGUUAUUCGGCGCUGAUCCCAACGCCUCAAGCUUUUACCCCUGGGAUUUUGAAAAGCCACAACACAGUUGUUAG